GACGUUAGCGACAGAAGAAGCACCGGCUAACUCCGUGCCAGCAGCCGCGGUAAUACGGAGGGUGCGAGCGUUAAUCGGAAUUACUGGGCGUAAAGCGCAUGCAGGUGGUUUGUUAAGUCAGAUGUGAAAGCCCGGGGCUCAACCUCGGAAUAGCAUUUGAAACUGGCAGACUAGAGUACUGUAGAGGGGGGUAGAAUUUCAGGUGUAGCGGUGAAAUGCGUAGAGAUCUGAAGGAAUACCGGUGGCGAAGGCGGCCCCCUGGACAGAUACUGACACUCAGAUGCGAAAGCGUGGGGAGCAAACAGGAUUAGAUACCCUGGUAGUCCACGCCGUAAACGAUGUCUACUUGGAGGUUGUGGCCUUGAGCCGUGGCUUUCGGAGCUAACGCGUUAAGUAGACCGCCUGGGGAGUACGGUCGCAAGAUUAAAACUCAAAUGAAUUGACGGGGGCCCGCACAAGCGGUGGAGCAUGUGGUUUAAUUCGAUGCAACGCGAAGAACCUUACCUACUCUUGACAUCCAGAGAACUUUCCAGAGAUGGAUUGGUGCCUUCGGGAACUCUGAGACAGGUGCUGCAUGGCUGUCGUCAGCUCGUGUUGUGAAAUGUUGGGUUAAGUCCCGCAACGAGCGCAACCCUUAUCCUUGUUUGCCAGCGAGUAAUGUCGGGAACUCCAGGGAGACUGCCGGUGAUAAACCGGAGGAAGGUGGGGACGACGUCAAGUCAUCAUGGCCCUUACGAGUAGGGCUACACACGUGCUACAAUGGCGCAUACAGAGGGCGGCCAACUUGCGAAAGUGAGCGAAUCCCAAAAAGUGCGUCGUAGUCCGGAUUGGAGUCUGCAACUCGACUCCAUGAAGUCGGAAUCGCUAGUAAUCGUGGAUCAGAAUGCCACGGUGAAUACGUUCCCGGGCCUUGUACACACCGCCCGUCACACCAUGGGAGUGGGCUGCAAAAGAAGUAGG
rnacentral:rRNA from 1 species